rnacentral:rRNA from 1 species
CGGGUAGCUGGUCUGAGAGGACGAUCAGCAACACUGGAACUGAGACACGGUCCAGACACCUACGGGUGGCAGCAGUCGAGAAUCAUUCACAAUGGAGGCAACUCUGAUGGUGCAACGCCGCGUGGAGGAUGACGGUCCUAGGAUUGUAAACUCCUGUCAUUAGGGGUAAGACUUAUGCGUUAAGAGCGUGUAAGUUUGAUAGUACCCAAAGAGGAAGGAC